rnacentral:lncRNA from 1 species
UGCUUACAGCCCUACGGGCAGCAUGGGGGAGGUCACGAGAAACGUGGAUAAACCUAAGUUACGCCCUCUUGUAAAUUCCUAUAUUGAAACCUGGUCACAAGAUGAUAUGUGGUAAAGUUAACUCACAAACAACCCCAGGGUCUCUCUGCCCCAUAUAAACCCGUCAUUCUGUAAGCUCAGCGCUGCCUCCUCUGACUGUGGUGGAGCAGCUCAGCAGGAUAAUAAGCUUACUCGCCUGACCUUGGGUCUCUCUCUCAUCCUUUCUCUUGGCUAACCUUCAUUUUGGUGCCAAAACCCAGGAAGGGGAUAGGCUCUGGCUGGGCGUCCUUAGAGGAUUCUCUCUCUCUCUCUCCUAUCAUCCCUUACCCAGCCAACCUCCCCUUCCCGAACCUGCUAAAGACCCUAAGGAUCUCCCAAAAUUCUCCCAUUGUUGGCCACCUCAUCCACCAUCAAAGCCUCUGAGAGGGAUGGGCAGACAAGCAUGCUCCUCAGAGCCACCAUCCCUUCAACAAGACAAAAAGUGAAGAAUCACUUGCACUCCCAUAGCUCCUUGGCCUAGCCACUGAAGACUGAUGAGGCCAGGGCCCCUGGGCCCCGGCUCCCGGCCCCCACUGCCAUCACUGCAUCGGAGCCCAGGGUAACUCUACUAGUAGCAGUUUUUACAGGGCCGUGUUAGAGCCUUCACCCAUGGAACAGUACAAGACAUGAUGCUACUCCGAGAAUACCGACAGCUCCAGGAACAGCAGUCCCUACUACCCAGCCUCUCCCCCCAACCAUCGCCCCUAUCCAGCAAGAAGCAGCCAGAGGACAACGGCGCCCCUCUUCUAUUACCUAUUAAAAGGCUGGAAUGUUAGGAACAAGUUGCACCAGAACCCCUCCCCCUUCCCACCCGCCCCCGC